AUUGAACGCUGGCGGCAGGCCUAACACAUGCAAGUCGAACGGAUGCAGCGAGCUUGCUCCUGCAUUCAUGGGCGGAGGGGGGAGGAAUGCCUAUGAAUGUGCAAGGGCUUGGGGGAUAGGGUCCAGAAACGGGCGCUAAUACUGCAAACGCCCAGAGGGAGAAAGUGGAGGAGCGUGCGUUUGCACGCUUUCAGAAUAGGCUAGGUCGUAUUCGCUAGUUGGUGGGGUAAAGGCCUAGCAAGGCGAAGAUCCCUAACUGGUCUUAGUGGAUGAUCAGUCACACUGGAACUGAGACACGGUCCAGACUCCUAGGGGAGGCAGCAGUGGGGAAUAUUGCACAAUGGGCGAAAGCCUGAUACAGCCAUGCCGCGUGUAUGAAGAAGGUCUUCGGAUUGUAAAGCACUUUAAGUUGGGAGGAAGGGAAGUAAGUUAAUACCUUGCUGUAUUGACGUUACCAGCAGAAUAAGCACCGGCUAACUUCGUG
rnacentral:rRNA from 1 species